ensembl:lncRNA
GUUUGCAGGCCAGAGCAAGGAGGAGUGCUGCUUCUGGAGCCUUUCAUCAUUAACUGCUCAUCACUUUGGAGUGCCUCCUAAGGUCAAGAGCAUUUCGUCAGUCAUUCAUCAGCCAAGCACUUGGUGCAUUAUCUGAGGCUGUCUCUCGGGGAAGCCAAGGUCGAGCAGUAAUACACCAGCGAGGUGACCUGCUCAUUACUUCUGGAAACAUGUUUUGUCAAUGAAUGCCCAUUAGUGAGCAUUUAAUUUAGAUUUAAUAAGGUUUCUAAUGUUUAAAAGGACGCUCUACCUUCAAGAUAUUUGUCAUAAUUGGAAGGAGGAUAUUUCCCAGCACUGUUUAUAAAUAAAUCCCUUAGAAGACAGAUAUUGAAAUUAGCUCCUUUAAUACUGGAGGUGCCAGGCAGGGAGGCAAAGCCCUGUGUCUGUUUUGGAUCUGUCUCCAUCUGUGCUUGUUCUGAGAUGUCUGCACAAGGAGCAAAGCCACCUCCCCUGCUCGAAUGGCAGGCGGGGUAUUGGAACAGGAUGCUGACACCACGAAGGAACCAAGUGAUCUUUGCACAACGUGUGCCGUGGAGUAUCAAAGACUCAUCAUCUUUUUAUUUUGCUUUGGAUACGUAAAAGCUCUGAGACUCAAGCAAAUGGGGGGGGAAAAAAAGUGCUUUCAUGUUCAUUCUCAGGCAGCGCCCCUGACAGAUUUGUACACCGAAGAAACAGAGUGGUGUCAAGGCUGCAGUUAAAAACGGGACGCGGCCGUCAAUUGAGAGCGCACGCUGGAAUACACGAGGAUAUAAAUUCAAGAACUGAGCCAACAGCCCCAUUUGCCUUGGGUUUCUCUGCCGCUCCAGCGCGUCCUCAGUCUCCAGACUGGGGAAAAAGAUGGGGAAGCAUUCCAUAGAUGGGAGUUCCAGUUUUCAUUGAGCUCCCUGUGUCCCACAUUGGGCUCUGCCUUGGGGCGUGGGGGAGGGCUUGCUGCUGCUGCUGUGCUCUCUUAACACAGCAAGGAAAGCGCCUAGAGCCCAGUUUCCCUGCAGGGAUUCACUCUGUUUUCAUCUGUAAGGCACUGUUGCUAAGUGAGGAACCCAUUGUGUGCUAUCAGUCUAUAAACAAAAUAUGAAUUAGCCGAUCUUUAAUUCUAAGAUUAUGUUGCAAAAUAGCAAGGAUUCAUUCAGAAGACCAUUAAGAAGAGUCUUAAAAUGAAAUGAGCUAAUUUCAGGCUGAGCUUUUG